AGCAGUGGGGAAUAUUGCGCAAUGGGGGAAACCCUGACGCAGCGACGCCGCGUGAGCGAAGAAGGCCUUCGGGUUGUAAAGCUCUGUUUUAAGGGACGAAGAUACACCUGAGUAACAUAUGGGUGUAGUGACGGUACCUUAAUAGAAAGCCCCGGCUAACUACGUGCCAGCAGCCGCGGUAAGACGUAGGGGGCGAGCGUUGUCCGGAAUUACUGGGCGUAAAGAGCGCGUAGGCGGAAACUUAAGUCAGUUGUGAAAGACCGGGGCUCAACCUCGGGGUUGCGACUGAAACUAGGUUUCUUGAGGGCAGGAGAGGGCAGUAGAAUUCCUGGUGUAGCGGUGAAAUGCGUAGAAAUCAGGAGGAAUACCAGUGGCGAAGGCGACUGUCUGGACUGACCCUGACGCUGAGGUGCGAAAGCGUGGGUAGCAAACWGGAUUAGAUACCCUGGUAGUCCACGCCGUAAACGUUGGAUACUAGGUGUAGGAGGUAUCGGACCCCUUCUGUGCCGCAGCUAACGCAAUAAAGU
rnacentral:rRNA from 1 species